UGCGCGUGUGGCGGAAUUGGCAGACGCACUAGACUUAGGAUCUAGCGGGAAACCGUGGGGGUUCAAGUCCCUCCACGCGCAU
rnacentral:tRNA from 1 species